ensembl:lncRNA
CAGGUGCGUCUCCUCCCCGUAGCCUGCCUCUCCACCUCCUUUUGCUCCCCCCUCGUCCCCACCGUCAGCCUGCUUCAGCCUCCAGUUAAUGAAAUGUGGCGAGAGGCCGCACAGACAGCUGUCAGACCCCUCAUUUCUCCGCUGGGAUAUUGGAUCCCGCGCUGGGAGACCGACAGGACUCUUAAGUGAAAUCCAACCCAUCCACAUCAAAUCCAGAAAAGCUCCAAGGCUGGGCAAACCCGAAUGGAGCCGAGAAGAAGUUCAAGGACUUCGGGUUUUUACAGCGGAUUCUUCGGCGCUACCUCCCAGCUGACAAAUCAACAUCUCAAUCUGACAAUUAGUGGUCGAGGUGGGGGGAGAGGGUCCCUCGUCACCGGGCUGGCUUGGCCCUCCGGGCGGGAGGCAGAGAGGUGGGCGGUGCUGGCAGUGAUGAACGACUCCGGGGGGGGCCCACGGCCGGGAGCUCGCAUUCAUUACUCGCCUGACAGGCGGGCGGCGGACCGGGCGGGCCUCGAGUGGACGAGCGAGGAAAGAGGCCAGUGGCAGGAGGGAGAGAAAGGGAGACGUUUAACAGCCCCAACGCCCGGUCAGCUCCCGAUUCUUCCCCUGGACCCUGGUACUUGACUUCCUUGAGCUCGGUCUCUCAGCUGUAGGAGGGCUCUGGUUGCAGAAUUUGGGGAGCAGGGGGGCGGGACCUAAGCCCUUUCUCAGGUUAGGCGAUUUAAGGUCUAAGAUGUCAAGAAACGAUGUGGACAGGCCUUAGGACUAGGCGCUUCAGCCUGACCUGGGAGGAAUUGCGCGUGUCUGCCCACACAGAGGUGCUGUGUGUGACAAGGAUUGAUGGGUGUGGAUCGGGAGUGGGGACCAGUGACUGUGAGUGUCAGUGUUAGGGAUGUGUCCGCCUGAUUUUGUCAGUGGAGGUGUGAGCUGCCUGUGUCUGAGGAUGAGCUGCCACCUCUCCCUGCUUGUCUCUGUGCCCACCCCCCAAAACACACCACUUGCUGUCAGCUCUCUGUCUCCAGUUCUGUAGGAAAUGGCAGUGUGCACGGUGACAGCUGAGGUGUGCUGCUGGGGGUCGGGGGAGAGAUGUUAACUGUGAGAAUGCUGGUCUGGACAACUGCAUCCUUCCAUCUGCCCCCUCCCCCCGCACCCCCCCCCAAAUCGUCCCUUCCCCAGACCUCCUGAAAGUAGUGGAAUUUUUCCCCCCACAAAAUCUUGAAGACUUAGUCGCUGAGUCCUGGGGAAGGAAGUGGUACCAGUUUUCUACAGUCCACACCCCUACACAUACACACAAUCUCCAUCGCAUAUACAAACAGUCUGCAAUACAAGUGUGGUCUCCAACCCAUCUGGUUUCCCCAGGCAGGUGGUGGUCAGAGAGGAGGAGGUGGAUCUCAAGAAGGGAAGGGGCAGACCAUCAGGCCCACAAGAGAGCCCACCUCUUUGGGGCCAGGGCUAGUGGCCCCUGGGACCCUUACCUUUUGGAUCUCAGGUCCAGUUACUAUUUGACACCUUGGGAGGAUAAUGCUAAUGAUAAUCUAAUUCCUCCUCCCUAGCAACUCUCUUUCAUCACCUGGCUUUGUCUCUACUCCCUUCCCUCACUCUCAAACACACCAAAAGGUUGAGCAUGGCCUCCUUCCCAGGCCUGAAUCUCCUGGGUCUAUAGGGCAGAGAGUUGGGGUGAUUUUGGCUCUCUGGUCCCCUGCUUUGUUCACUGUGUCUUUCAGCCACCUUUCCGUUGACUUGUUCUUCUUCAUAGCUAGGGUAUCUCUUGGAGCCUCCAGACCUUUGUCUUUGCACCCAUCCUUGUGUCUGCAUGUCUCCACGUUUAGGAAUCUCUUCCAAAUCUGUCUCCCUACAUUUUGAGGUGUCUCUUUGUUCUCCCUCUGGGAAUACCCCUGCGCACCAGUGAGGCUCAUGUGGAUGGGGAAAAGGAGUAGGGCUACCUUCCUGCCCCCUUCCAGGGGCAACUGCAACCCAAGGAUGGCCACGCAGUAUCAGGGCCCGGGAAGGGGGGUCGCUUCUUAUUCAGGGCACAGGCACCUUGGACCCUGCCCGGCUGUCCGCCUCCCCCCCCACCCCCACCCCCAACCCCCCGCAAGCCGCCCUCCUCCAGGCCCCGAACCCUCCGCCCACUUGGAAAAGGCAAAUUUGACAUUUUUAAAUCCUG